rnacentral:tRNA from 1 species
CUUCCUUUAUUUGUCUUGAAAACAGAAAAAAGAAAUUGUUUCUAGGAAGUU